rnacentral:tRNA from 1 species
GCCGGGGUGGCCGAGCAGCUAGGCGGUGGGCUGCAGACCCACUCUACAGGGGUGCAAAUCCCCUCCCCGGCU